rnacentral:rRNA from 1 species
CCUACGGGUGGCAGCAGUGAGGAAUAUUGGUCAAUGGACGGAAGUCUGAACCAGCCAUGCCGCGUGCAGGAUGACGGCUCUAUGAGUUGUAAACUGCUUUUGUACGAGAAUAAUAGUUCUUACGUGUAGGGAUUUGAAUGUAUCGUACGAAUAAGGAUCGGCUAACUCCGUGCCAGCAGCCGCGGUAAUACGGAGGAUUCGAGCGUUAUCCGGAUUUAUUGGGUUUAAAGGGUGCGUAGGCGGGCUGUUAAGUCAGCGGUCAAAUGUCGGGGCUCAACCCCGGCCUGCCGUUGAAACUGGCGGCCUCGAGUGGGCGAGAAGUAUGCGGAAUGCGUGGUGUAGCGGUGAAAUGCAUAGAUAUCACGCAGAACUCCGAUUGCGAAGGCAGCAUACCGGCGCCCGACUGACGCUGAGGCACGAAAGCGUGGGUAUCGAACAGGAUUAGAUACCCUUGUAGUC